rnacentral:rRNA from 1 species
AUUGAACUCUGGCGGCAGGCCUAACACAUGCAAGUCGAGCGCGCGGCGGACGGGUGAGGAAUGUAUGGGGACUGCCCGAUAGAGGUGGAUAACUACUGGAAACGGUUUCUAAUCCCGCAUACUAUCAGAUACCCCAUAUGGGAGUAGCUAGUAGUUAAGGUAAUGGCUCACCUAGGCGACGCUCCCUAGCUGGUCUGGGAGGAUGAUCAGCCACACUGGGACUGAGACACGGCCCAGACUCCUACGGAGGCAGCAGUGGGGAAUAUUGCACAAUGGGCGCAAGCCUGAUGCAGCCAGGCCGCGUGUAUGAAGAAGGCCCUCGGGUUGUAAAGUACUUUCAGUAGGGAGGCGUUACCUAAAGAAGAAGCACCGGCUAACUCCGUGCCAGCAGCCGCGGUAAUAC